GGAUAUUUUCCUGACCCCUUCAUGAGACUUGUGACAGGGGUUCCUUGUUUACUCAGCCCUGCAGCUCUCAACGCCUUGCAGGAGGUAGCAUAGAAGCGAACAAGGCGGGAACUGGAGUGCCCAAGUGUUGGAACAAGCUGGCUGCUUCGGUGCUGGCAGGGGCAAACUCCAAUCACUGGGACCCGCUACAUUCCACCCCUCACGGAAGGGAGCACGCAGAACAAUUUAGAAAUUGAUCUGCAACUGAUGGAAGCUGGGAUGAAUUGGGCGCAUAAGUGAACCCAAAGCAUCAGAGCAAAGUCAAAGCGAACAUCUGGCUCCAGCUUUGAGUACAAGGAGAGAUUUGUGUAUGAUUGAGAGCAAGGAAAAAAGGCUUUGAAGGGGAAUUCAAAUAUUGAAGACACAAGAGAAAAAAUAAAUAAUAAAAUACUGUGAUCUCUUUGAAAUUGAGAAUGAAGUGAAAUGAAAGAAAUAUAAAAAGCUAGUUUGGCCCUGUAGGAAAGAUGAUCUGUUCUUCCUCUGACACAGAAAGGAAGGAAGAAAGAACAUGCUGGAAGCAGAGCAAAGAAGAGAGACUUGUGUUUCCAUGGAAUAAUCUUGGGAUCCAUGUGGAGUGCAAGAGAUUGGAACAGAAGGAGUUCUCAAAAAAUAAAAACUUCGGGCGGGUGCGGUGGCUCACGCCUGUAAUCCCAGGACUUUGGGAGGCCGAGGUGGGCGGAUCACGAGGU
rnacentral:lncRNA from 1 species